UGGCGGACGGGUGAGUAAUGUCUGGGAAACUGCCUGAUGGAGGGGGAUAACUACUGGAAACGGUAGCUAAUACCGCAUAACGUCGCAAGACCAAAGAGGGGGACCUUCGGGCCUCUUGCCAUCGGAUGUGCCCAGAUGGGAUUAGCUAGUAGGUGGGGUAACGGCUCACCUAGGCGACGAUCCCUAGCUGGUCUGAGAGGAAGACCAGCCACACUGGAACUGAGACACGGUCCAGACUCCUACGGGAGGCAGCAUG
rnacentral:rRNA from 1 species